rnacentral:lncRNA from 1 species
AAAAAAACAACAUUGUACAAAAUAAUUCUCACACAAAUUCGACAGAUUCUUAAACGCAGCCCGCCAUUAAUCUCAAUAAAACAGUAUUUGUAUAUGUCAUACUGAAUACUGCAUGCUCAUAUUAAUGAUUUUUUAUAGACUGUUUUUCGGACAGGACCACUAAGUAAAUGAUUGCGUGUCACCUUUUGUCGGGUUGUAACUCGAGGACAACGUGGUUCCACACUAAUAUAAAUAAUCCAUGCACACUUUGUAAAGAGACUACAUUUUAUCAAGGAAUUGUAAUUUAAAUAUACAAUUCCUUGAUUUUAUUGAUGUUCACUAUUAAUGUCAAAUAUCAGAAAGGUACUACAAGACAACACGUGCAAGAUUUCAACUGUCUAGGAGGUUAUAAAAAAAUAAACAGAUACCGGAAACAUAGUUGCGUGGGUCAAGCAGCUGACAAGCUUUUAGUACAAUGUUGAAUGUCUGAUAGCAAAAGUAUUCUUUUAAAUAAAAAUAAUCGCUCGCCUUUACUUUUC